GAUGAACGCUGGCGGCGUGCCUAAUACAUGCAAGUCGAGCGGAAAGGCCUCUUCGGAGGUACUCGAGCGGCGGACGGCUGAGUAACACGUAGGAACAUACCCCAAAGUGAGGGAUAAGCACCGGAAACGGUGUCUAAUACCGCAUGUGCUCUAAGGAGUAAAGCUUCGGCGCUUUGGGAAUGGCCUGCGCAUGAUUAGCUUGUUGGUGAGGUAAUGGCUCACCAAGGCGACGAUCAUUAGCUGGUCUGAGAGGAUGAUCAGCCAGACUGGGACUGAGACACGGCCGAGACUCCUACGGGAGGCAGCAGUAGGGAAUUUUCCACAAUGGGCGAAAGCCUGAUGGAGCAACGCCGCGUGCAGGAUGAAUGCCUUAGGGUUGUAAACUGCUUUUAUAUGUGACGAAUAUGACGGUAGCAUAUGAAUAAGGAUCGGCUAACUCCGUGCCAGCAGCCGCCGUAA
rnacentral:rRNA from 1 species